rnacentral:rRNA from 1 species
AACGUAGGAGACAAACGUUAUCCGGAGUUACUGGGCGUAAAGGGCGUGUAGGCGGUUUGUUAAGUCUGGCGUGAAAGCUCUCGGCUAAACCGGGAGAGGUCGUUGGAUACUGGCGAACUAGAGGAUGGUAGAGGCGUGUGGAAUUCCGGGUGUAGUGGUGAAAUGCGUAGAGAUCCGGAGGAACACCAGUGGCGAAGGCGGCUCACUGGACCGGUACUGACGCUGAGGCGCGAAAGCGUGGGGAGCAAACAGG